rnacentral:rRNA from 1 species
AUUGAACGCUGGCGGCAGGCCUAACACAUGCAAGUCGAACGGUAACAGGAAGCAGCUUGCUGCUUUGCUGACGAGUGGCGGACGGGUGAGUAAUGUCUGGGAAACUGCCCGAUGGAGGGGGAUAACUACUGGAAACGGUAGCUAAUACCGCAUAACGUCGCAAGACCAAAGAGGGGGACCUUAGGGCCUCUUGCCAUCGGAUGUGCCCAGAUGGGAUUAGCUAGUAGGUGGGGUAACGGCUCACCUAGGCGACGAUCCCUAGCUGGUCUGAGAGGAUGACCAGCCACACUGGAACUGAGACACGGUCCAGACUCCUACGGGAGGCAGCAGUGGGGAAUAUUGCACAAUGGGCGCAAGCCUGAUGCAGCCAUGCCGCGUGUAUGAAGAAGGCCUUCGGGUUGUAAAGUACUUUCAGCGGGGAGGAAGGGAGUAAAGUUAAUACCUUUGCUCAUUGACGUUACCCGCAGAAGAAGCACCGGCUAACUCCGUU